rnacentral:rRNA from 1 species
AUACGUAGGGGGCGAGCGUUGUCCGGAAUGAUUGGGCGUAAAGGGCGCGUAGGCGGCCCGGUAAGUCUGGAGUGAAAGUCCUGUUUUUAAGAUGGGAAUUGCUUUGGAUACUGUCGGGCUUGAGUGCAGGAGAGGUAAGUGGAAUUCCCAGUGUAGCGGUGAAAUGCGUAGAGAUUGGGAGGAACACCAGUGGCGAAGGCGACUUACUGGACUGUAACUGACGCUGAGGCGCGAAAGUGUGGGGAGCAAACAGGAUUAGAUACCCUGGUAGUCCACACUGUAAACGAUGAAUGCCAGGUGUAGGGGGUAUCGACCCCUUCUGUGCCGCAGUCAACACAAUAAGCAUUCCGCCUGGGGAGUACGGCCGCAAGGUUGAAACUCAAAUGAAUUGACGGGG